rnacentral:rRNA from 4 species
UUGUCUCAAAGAUUAAGCCAUGCAUGUCUCAGUACAAGCCGAAUUAAGGUGAAACCGCGAAAGGCUCAUUAAAUCAGUUAUGGUUCCUUAGAUCGUACCCACAUUUACUUGGAUAACUGUGGUAAUUCUAGAGCUAAUACAUGCAAACAGAGCUCCGACCGGAGACGGAAGGAGCGCUUUUAUUAGAUCAAAACCAAUCGGUGGCGGUUUCCGUCAUCGUACAACUUGGUGACUCUGAAUAACUUUACGCUGAUCGCACGGUCUCGCACCGGCGACGCAUCUUUCAAAUGUCUGCCUUAUCAACUGUCGAUGGUAGGUUCUGCGCCUACCAUGGUUGUAACGGGUAACGGGGAAUCAGGGUUCGAUUCCGGAGAGGGAGCCUGAGAAACGGCUACCACAUCCAAGGAAGGCAGCAGGCGCGCAAAUUACCCACUCCCGGCACGGGGAGGUAGUGACGAAAAAUAACGAUACGGGACUCAUCCGAGGCCCCGUAAUCGGAAUGAGUACACUCUAAACCCUUUAACGAGGAUCAAUUGGAGGGCAAGUCUGGUGCCAGCAGCCGCGGUAAUUCCAGCUCCAAUAGCGUAUAUUAAAGUUGUUGCGGUUAAAAAGCUCGUAGUCGAAUCUGUGUCCCGCGCCGCCGGUUCAUCGUUCGCGGUGUUAACUGGCGUGCCGCGGGACGUCCUGCCGGUGGGCUUAGCUCGAGAGGGCGGCCCAACUCAAUCCCGCCGCGGUGCUCUUCAUUGAGUGUCGAGGUGGGCCGGCACGUUUACUUUGAACAAAUUAGAGUGCUUAAAGCAGGCUAAAACUUCGCCUGAAUACUGUGUGCAUGGAAUAAUGGAAUAGGACCUCGGUUCUAUUUUGUUGGUUUUCGGAACCCCGAGGUAAUGAUUAAUAGGAACGGAUGGGGGCAUUCGUAUUGCGACGUUAGAGGUGAAAUUCUUGGAUCGUCGCAAGACGGACAGAAGCGAAAGCAUUUGCCAAAAACGCUUUCAUUGAUCAAGAACGAAAGUUAGAGGUUCGAAGGCGAUCAGAUACCGCCCUAGUUCUAACCAUAAACGAUGCCAGCUAGCGAUCCGCCGACGUUCCUCCGAUGACUCGGCGGGCAGCUUCCGGGAAACCAAAGCUUUUGGGUUCCGGGGGAAGUAUGGUUGCAAAGCUGAAACUUAAAGGAAUUGACGGAAGGGCACCACCAGGAGUGGAGCCUGCGGCUUAAUU